rnacentral:ncRNA from 14 species
UAUUCUCGUGUGGAAGUAAUUUUGGGUACAACCCCAGUAUCGAUCUAUCCCCUAUAAUUUUAUGUACUUCGUACAUUACUGCUAGCCCCCAUGGAUAUUGUACA